rnacentral:rRNA from 1 species
UACGAAGGGUGCAAGCGUUGCUCGGAAUUAUUGGGCGUAAAGCGCACGUAGGCGGCUUUGCAAGUCGGAUGUGAAAUCUUAUGGCUUAACCAUAAAAGUGCAUCCGAAACUGCAGUGCUUGAGUACUUAAGAGGAUCGCGGAAUUCCCGGUGUAGAGGUGAAAUUCGUAGAUAUCGGGAGGAACACCAGUGGCGAAGGCGGCGAUCUGGGAAGAUACUGACGCUGAGGUGCGAAAGCGUGGGGAGCAAACAGG